CCGUGGAGCUUUACUGUAGCCUGAUAUUGAAAUUCGGCACAGCUUGUACAGGAUAGGUAGGAGCCUUUGAAACGUGAGCGCUAGCUUACGUGGAGGCGCUGGUGGGAUACUACCCUAGCUGUGUUGGUUUUCUAACCCGCACCACUUAUCGUGGUGGGAGACAGUGUCAGGCGGGCAGUUUGACUGGGGCGGUCGCCUCCUAAAAGGUAACGGAGGCGCUCAAAGGUUCCCUCAGAAUGGUUGGAAAUCAUUCAU
rnacentral:rRNA from 1 species